rnacentral:rRNA from 1 species
GAUGAACGCUGGCGGCGUGCCUAAUACAUGCAAGUCGAGCGAACAGAUGAGGAGCUUGCUCCUCUGACGUUAGCGGCGGACGGGUGAGUAACACGUGGAUAACCUACCUAUAAGACUGGGAUAACUUCGGGAAACCGGAGCUAAUACCGGAUAAUAUAUUGAACCGCAUGGUUCAAUAGUGAAAGACGGUUUUGCUGUCACUUAUAGAUGGAUCCGCGCCGCAUUAGCUAGUUGGUAAGGUAACGGCUUACCAAGGCAACGAUGCGUAGCCGACCUGAGAGGGUGAUCGGCCACACGGGAACUGAGACACGGUCCAGCCUCCUACGGGAGGCAGCAGUGGGGAAUCUUCCGCAAUGGGCGAAAGCCUGACGGAGCAACGCCGCGUGAGUGAUGAAGGUCUUCGGAUCGUAAAACUCUGUUAUUAGGGAAGAACAAAUGUGUAAGUAACUAUGCACGUCUUGACGGUACCUAAUCAGAAAGCCACGGCUAACUACGU